CCAGGAGAGAUCACUUGUUCAUAAGUAAUCCAAUGCCUCUUAAAUCACCAACUCCAUAGUUAAAUGUGCUCAGGUGGGAGUAGUACUAGGAUGGGUGACCUCCUGGGAAGUCUCCACCGGGC
rnacentral:rRNA from 1 species